CCCUUAGACGUUCUGGGCCGCACGCGCGCUACACUGACCAGUGCAACAAGCAUCCGUCCUUGGCCGACAGGCCCGGGCAAUCUUUGAACGCUGGUCGUGAUGGGGAUAGACUUUUGCAAUUUUUGGUCUUCAACGAGGAAUUCCUAGUAAGCGCGAGUCAUCAGCUCGUGCUGAUUACGUCCCUGCCCUUUGUACACACCGCCCGUCGCUCCUACCGAUUGAGUGCUCAGGUGAAUAAUUCGGACUGCAGCAGUGUUUGGAUCCCGAACGCUGCAGCGGAAAGUUUAGUGAACCUUAUCACUUAGAGGAAGGAGAAGUCGUAACA
rnacentral:rRNA from 1 species